rnacentral:rRNA from 1 species
AUUGAACGCUGGCGGCAGGCUUAACACAUGCAAGUCGAACGAGUGGCGGACGGGUGAGUAAUGCCUGUGAAUCUAGCUUAUGGAGGGGGAUAACUACGGGAAACUGUAGCUAAUACCGCGUACCAUAGGCUGAGACCAAGUGGGAUUAGGUAGUUGGUGAGAUAAAGGCUCACCAAGCCGACGAACUCUAGCUUGUCUGAGAGGCUGACCAGCCACACUGGGACUGAGACACGGCCCAGACUCCGACGGGAUGGAGCAGUGGGGAAUAUUGCACAAAGGGGGCAACCUGACGCAGCCAUGCCGCGUGAGUGAAGAAGGCCUUCGGGUUGUAAAGUUCUUUCGGUAGCGAGGCGUUAACUACAGAAGAAGCACCGGCUAACUCCGUGCCAGCAGCCGCGGUAAUUC